rnacentral:snRNA from 1 species
GGAUGUGAGGGUGAUCUGGCUGCAACAUCUGUCCCCCCAUUGAUUGCCAGGGUUCAUUCAGCUGAUCUGGCUGGCUGCACAGGUGUCCCUUUCCUGCCUCACCACUCCAUGUGCGUCCCUCCCUUCCAGAAGCUACUCGGUCUGUCAAAAAGGAUGACCCUCCCUGACAUAGGAAGACUGUUCUUUGGUCAAGGGUAUACUGGUAGCUACACUCCCCUGCUAGAACUUCCUGACAAGCUUUCAGUAUAUGCAGACUCUUAACAUUCAUGCAUUCAUUUUAUAAGUUGCUAUUAAAUAUGUUUCAUUCAGCAGGAAUUU